AUGUGGGGCCUUGAUAAAGUAAUAUUGAAGCAUAUUGCCACAGUAAAAGAGUUCGUUGUAGAGCAAAGCUUUAUCGGGCUAAAAAGGCUUGAACUUGUUGGCUUGGGAAGUUUUGAAAAAUGGAUACCAUCACAGGACACUCAUCAUAUGUUUCCUCUUUUGCAAGCAAUGAUUAUUAGGGACUGCCCUAAAAUCUUGGAGUUACCAUUUUCAAACCACAUUAUUAACCCUGCAGAUCAAGACUGGAAGAUUGAUUGGUUUCCCAAACUACAAGAGCUUGAGAUAUUGUACUGCCCAGAAUUCUUGUUAGUGCCUCAUAUCACCUGGACUGAAACGCUAUGUACUGUCAACAUACGAGGUAUAAAGCUACUAGAGAUGUUCAAGUACUCAAGAUCAUCCUACUAUGGAGUAGGACUGAAAAUUGUUGGAAAGUAUGAACUGCGGAGCUUAGAUCAAGUGUUAGCAUGCAAUAAACUGUCAGGUCUCGAGCAGCUAGUACUCGAGAAGUGCCCACCUCUGGAGUUAAAGCACCUUCUGAUGCUAACCUCACUGAAGAAAUUGGAUGUAAGGAGUUCAGAUUGCCUGGUUGGGCCAUUAGGAGGUGAGGGUGAUGUGGUAUGGCAGCACCCUAUUAUCCAGGAAUUACUUGUGGUCCAGGAAUCACUCGGUGGUCCUAGUGGGAAGGAAUUAACAGAGCUUCUCACUCACCUCCCAAGGCUCUCCAAGUUACUUAUUUGCCAGCUGUGA
rnacentral:rRNA from 1 species